rnacentral:pre_miRNA from 1 species
AGAAACUUGAAAACUACCGUUGGAUCGAGAAAUGGACGUCCGAGAUUCGUCCACAUCAUCAUGAGUUAAAAUUUAACUCAUGAGUGAAUCCGCGAGUUAAAUUUUAACUCAUGGUGACGUGGACGAAUCUUGGACAUCCAUUUCUCCAUCCAACGGUAGUUUUCAAGUUUCC